UUCUGCCCAGGAUAGAAACGGAAAGCCCGAAAGGGAAGAGCCCUUAAAAAACAAAACCCAAAAGAGCGACCAGCGGAAGCUCCUUUUGGGUUUAUGUUUUUUUGGGCGAUGACCGCGGACUUGCAGUGUAUAGCCUGAAUUGGC
rnacentral:sRNA from 1 species